CUUAAAUUGAAGAGUUUGAUCAUGGCUCAGAUUGAACGCUGGCGGCAGGCCUAACACAUGCAAGUCGAGCGGUAACAGGAAGAAAGCUUGCUUUCUUUGCUGACGAGCGGCGGACGGGUGAGUAAUGCCUGGGAAUAUGCCUUAACGUGGGGGAUAACUAUUGGAAACGAUAGCUAAUACCGCAUGAUGCCUACGGGCCAAAGAGGGGGACCUUCGGGCCUCUCGCGUUAAGAUUAGCCCAGGUGGGAUUAGCUAGUUGGUGAGGUAAUGGCUCACCAAGGCGACGAUCCCUAGCUGGUCUGAGAGGAUGAUCAGCCACACUGGAACUGAGACACGGUCCAGACUCCUACGGGAGGCAGCAGUGGGGAAUAUUGCACAAUGGGCGCAAGCCUGAUGCAGCCAUGCCGCGUGUAUGAAGAAGGCCUUCGGGUUGUAAAGUACUUUCAGUCGUGAGGAAGGCAUUUGCGUUAAUAGCGUARGUGUUUGACGUUAGCGACAGAAGAAGCACCGGCUAACUCCGUGCCAGCAGCCGCGGUAAUACGGAGGGUGCGAGCGUUAAUCGGAAUUACUGGGCGUAAAGCGCAUGCAGGUGGUUCGUUAAGUC
rnacentral:rRNA from 1 species